UUACAUUAUGCAGUUUAAAUUUAUGCAAUUAGGAUAGUUUAAUUUAUGAAAUUAGGGUAGUUUAUUUUUCUGCAUUUAAAUUUUGCAAGUAGAUUUAGAUCAUGUCUAGCUAAGCAUCCCUUCUACGGUUUGCGAUGAAGCUAGAUCAUGAGUAGGGGUUUUACAUAGGGUUCUUUCUUUUUCUUAGGAUUUUUUUUUCUUCCUCUUUUGCCAAGAAUUUUUGAUGAACUACAGUUGUGUCAGAGUUCCUUCAUAGUUCAUGCUUG
rnacentral:lncRNA from 1 species